rnacentral:rRNA from 1 species
AUUUAUUGGAUACCAAAACCAUCCUUCCCUCGGGAAGUUUUGUUUGAUGAUUCACAAUAACUGAUCGGAUCGCCACUGUGGUGGCGACAUGUCAUUCAACAUUCUGCCCUAUCAGCUUUCGAUGGUUGUGUAGUGGACAACCAUGGCCAUAACGGGUAACGGAGAAUCAGGGUUCGAUUCCGGAGAAGGAGCUUGAGAAUUGGCUACUACAUCUAAGGUAGGCAGCAGGCGCGCAAAUUACCCAAUCCCGAUUCGGGGAGGUAGUGACAAAAAAUCACAAUACCGGGCCUUUUUGGGCUUGGUAAUUGGGAUGAGGGAGAGUUAAACGGACCAUCGAGUAUCCAUUGGAGGGCAAGUCUGGUGCCAGCAGCUGCGGUAAUACCAGCUCCAAUAGCGUAUAUUAAAGUUGUUGCAGUUAAAAGCUCGUAGUUGGACUUGUGUGCGCUGUCCGCGGGUGGCCUGCGCCCAAAAGGGCGUUUCGGUUCGGCCCCGGUGGCGCCUUGAAAUCUGCAGCUGGGGGGACGUUGGCCUUAACUGGUCGGCGACCGCACGCCGGCUGCUCGGCUACUGUGAGAAAAUUAGAGUGUUCAAGGCAGGCAUUGGGUGCAAUUGAAUACAUUAGCAUGGAAUAAUAAAAUAUGGCUCCUGCCGUAUUUUGUUGGUUUUGACUGGUGGGAGUAAUGAUUGAUAGGGACGGUUGGGGGUGCUAGUAUUGAGCGGCCAGAGGUGAAAUUCAUGGAUUCGCUCAAGACUAACUUAUGCGAAAGCAUUCACCAAGGACGUCCUCUUUAAUCAAGAACGAAAGUUGGGGGAUCGAAGACGAUCAGAUACCGUCGUAGUCUCAACCAUAAACUAUGUCGACUUGGGAUCGGCGGUAGUUUUUUCAUUAAGACACUGUCGGGACCACGGGAGAAAUCAAAGUGUCUGGACUCUGGGGGAAGUAAGGUCGCAAGGCUGAAACUUGAAGGAAUUGACGGAAGGGCACCACCAGGAGUGGAGCCUGCGGCUUAAUUUGACCCAACACGGGGAAACUUACCAGGUCCAGAGAUGUAGAGGAUUGACAGAUUGAAGCUCUUUCUUGAUCACUUCGGUGGUGGUGCAUGGCCGUUCUUAGUUGGUGGAGUGAUUUGUCUGGUUAAUUCCGUUAACGAACGAGACCUCAGCCUGCUAGUGUAGUCGGCUGGAUUGCCUUUGGCGAUCCGUGAUUUCGACUUCUU